GGAGUGGCUCAGCAGCAAAGCAUUUGCUUGGUGUGCAGAAGGUCCCAGGUUCAAUCCCCAGCAUCUCCA
rnacentral:tRNA from 1 species